CAGCUGCCUCUGUGUCUGGAGCUGCAUCUGUCAGGCAGACAGUUCCUUUGUGUGCCUGGUGCCUGGCCUCUCUGGCUGUCCCCUCUUCCUCUCUCUGGGUCAGUUUGGUGGUGGCUUUGGUUAGGUCUGUGCCUUAUCUGCUGUGGGAGCAGACGGGAGGGAGGAAGGAAUUUAGACUGAGAGUGCAGUCACUCCUGAAGCAAGGUGUUCUUAGCUGUUCGUAUGCCAGGUACGAGAUUGCUCGUAACUUUGCUUGAAAUGGGUGGGGCUGCCCAUGCAUGGUGGUUUGCGAAAUGCUUGUGGGUCGUGUUGGAUGGCAGCACUGUGGUUGUGGUGAUGCAGAAUGAGCCCUGUAGGCAAAAGGAUGGGGAGUGACCCUGAGGUACCCAGCUGUGUUUGGCCAGAGACUCAGAAGGUUCCAGUGGUGUGUGUGACAGGCUCUUCUCUUCUCAGGUGAGCCCUCUGCUGAGGGAACGCACACCGUGCUCCCAGGUCAGGGAAACAUGUCCCGUCGGAAACAGACCACUCCUAACAAAGUUCACUCCUGCUGUGUAUCUGGAGGGCCCAGAAAUGCCAGUGCGCUGGUGAAUGACGAGGAAAAUCGGAGAGAACAUCAUCUCCAAGAACUGGGUGAGCCAGCAGAAUGAGGAAUCAGGCUGAGACAUAGCAGGCACGUUACUGAGACUUCUUCACAGGGACUGAAAUGGUUGGGAGGAAAGGAAUAAAAGGGACAGCAGGUAUGCAGCUUUUUAUGCAGUUGUCUGCAAUUGGGAUCUGAUUUGGCCGACUGUGGGGCUGGGGAAGUGCUUUUUGGAUUCACGUAAAUGCUACUCUGAAUAUCUAACUGGACAAAUUCACGGGAGGAUGGUGCCCACUUCUUCCUUGCUUGGCUGCUCCAUGUUACCUUCCUUCUCAGAUUCAUUUGAGCAAGCAACAGCUACAGUCUCCUCUCCCUGGCUUGCUCAAUGCCACCUCUUUCCAGGGUUACUUUCCAGGCUUGGCAUGGCCCUUGUUUGACCUUCCUCUCACAACAGGGACUGCUGACCCCACUUAGCACAGAAGCACUUUGGUGUGCAGAGUGACUGGCUGGGAAGUUGUGUUGUUACAGAUCAAGUCAUUUUAAAUAGAAGUUGAUGUGUAAAGCAAUCUAAAAUAGUACAUAAACAACAGUAAAAUUACUGUUAUCGUAAACGUAUCAUUGUGUGUGAUAGCCGGUCCAUCUACAGCUUUCCUUGUAGUUGUUUCCCUUUGGCAGGUCUGCAGCACAUAAUUGGCUUUUAACAAUUUAAUUUUGUUUUGCCACGUGGUGCAUGAAAAACAUUUUCACCUGACAAUGUGGUAAGAAAUAAAACUGUAAUACUGGAAUAUACUUAUUGCAUUGCCCGUUUCACACUGAAUUGAAAAAUGCAAUACAGUCAUGUUGUUCCUGUAGAGAGAUCUUCAUUCAUCCAUUUCAGUCUUUAUUUUCUCCCAGACUCAAAAGUAUAAAUGUAUAAAAUCUUUCUAAGCAAUUAAUCAUCUGAUCUUGCUUUCAAGCCCAUCCAUUGCUGCCCUGUCACUCCAUCUGUUAUGGGUUACUCCACUGUUCUUGAGCUUGCCAAGAAUUCUGCUUCAGUAACUGCUACAGCAAUAUGGACAACCCAGAAUAGCGAUGGGGCAGGUGGACUAGAUCCACAGUGGUGGACAGACUUGCAAAUUUCAGGUCCAGGAAAGGAGCACAGAGAAGACCUACAUGAACAGGGACUUUAAAUUGCUGUACAAGGAGGGAGUAAAGUGGCUCAUCUCUGAGAGACUUUUCUGUUUAGGAAGGAAGACAGGGGAACAAUGUGGUUUCUUUUUAUUUUUGUUUUGUGGAUUUGGGGGUGAGGUUGUUUUUUGUGUGUUUAUUUUCCAGAACACCUGAGAGUUAUCCUGCAUUCAUACAGUUCAAGAAGGAAAGGGCUCAGAAAAAAAUCAUUUCUGGCUGCUGCAAAGUUGGUGCACCACCAGGUCCUAGCAGUCAUAACUGCCCCUGUUAUGCAGUACCUCAGGGCUGCCCCCUACCUCCACAGCUGCUCUCCUGGCAUCCCACUCAUUUACAAGAUUAUGGAGAGGAGAACUGGAAUGCAAAGCAGAGGCAUUUGUAUGAUUUUUUUCACUGUCCUACAUCUCUAGCUGUUUGUAAAACAAAUACAGUGUUUUGGUGUUGUGGUCAGCCUGCAGCCCUUUUUGUAUUUAAUAAAGAAACUUCUGGAGAAGAGUCUGUGAA